AGAGUUUGAUCCUGGCUCAGAACGAACGCUGGCGGCAGGCUUAACACAUGCAAGUCGAGCGCUCUACUUCGGUAGAGAGCGGCAGACGGGUGAGUAACGCGUGGGAACCUACCUAAUAGUACGGAAUAGCCCUGGGAAACUGGGAAUAAUACCGUAUACGCCCUCUUUGAUUGGCUCAUUGAGGGGAAAGAUUUAUCGCUAUUAGAUGGGCCUGCGUUGGAUUAGCUAGUUGGUGAGGUAAUAGCUCACCAAGGCAACGAUCUAUAGCUGGUCUGAGAGGAUGAUCAGCCACACUGGAACUGAGACACGGUCCAGACUCCUACGGGAGGCAGCAGUGGGGAAUAUUGGACAAUGGGCGCAAGCCUGAUCCAGCCAUGCCGCGUGAGUGAUGAAGGCCUUAGGGUUGUAAAGCUCUUUCAAUGGUGAAGAUAAUGACGGUAACCAUAGAAGAAGCCCCGGCUAACUUCGUGCCAGCAGCCGCGGUAAUACGAAGGGGGCUAGCGUUGUUCGGAUUUACUGGGCGUAAAGCGCACGUAGGCGGAUUGACAAGUUAGGGGUGAAAUCCCGAGGCUCAACCUCGGAACUGCCUCUAAAACUGUCAAUCUCGAGUCCGGAAGAGGUGAGUGGAACUCCUAGUGUAGAGGUGGAAUUCGUAGAUAUUAGGAAGAACACCAGUGGCGAAGGCGGCUCACUGGUCCGGUACUGACGCUGAGGUGCGAAAGCGUGGGGAGCGAACAGGAUUAGAUACCCUGGUAGUCCACGCCGUAAACGAUGAGAGCUAGCCGUUGGGGGAUUUAUCUUUCAGUGGCGCAGCUAACGCAUUAAGCUCUCCGCCUGGGGAGUACGGUCGCAAGAUUAAAACUCAAAUGAAUUGACGG
rnacentral:rRNA from 1 species